rnacentral:rRNA from 1 species
UACGUAGGGUGCGAGCGUUAAUCGGCAUUACUGGGCGUAAAGCGUGCGCAGGCGGCUUUGCAAGACAGAUGUGAAAUCCCCGGGCUCAACCUGGGAACUGCAUUUGUGACUGCAAGGCUAGAGUACGGCAGAGGGGGAUGGAAUUCCGCGUGUAGCAGUGAAAUGCGUAGAUAUGCGGAGGAACACCAAUGGCGAAGGCAAUCCCCUGGGCCUGUACUGACGCUCAUGCACGAAAGCGUGGGGAGCAAACAGG